CAGAUCCUCUUAGUACAGAAGAUUUCAAGAGACUUGACCCUAUACUAAACAAAGUGCUUCUACCAAUCAAAGAUAGAGAACAGCGUAAGGCACUCGUUAAGAAGUAUCUGUAUUGGUUUGAAACAGCUUUAAAAACAGGUCAAAACAGGUUUCUGGUUCCGGAGCCAAUAAUUCCAGGUGAUAGGGAGUUUCUCAGAAUUGCCAAUAUUUCCUGUGAUGAGGAAACGAAUGCGUUGGAUCUGGAGGCUCUCACCGAAGACGACAUUCAUGGAUAUGCUGUUGUCCUCAGGAACCUUUUCGGUUUAUCGGACGAAACGUGGGAAGCAAUUGAGAAGGAUGGCGUAAAACCUUGACCCAUGACUCACUUAGAAUUGAGCAAUGUUGCUUUUGCAUGUUUUACAUUGAAUCAGAAGCUUAUUAAGUGAUUUACGCUGCAAAUUUUUGACUCAAGGAAAAUGAGAUUUAAACGGAUAAAGGAAGUAACAUGGUAGUAUGAAGACACCAAGUAUUUAAAAAUAAACGGAAAAAAACGAGCAUUGACAAAGGUGGCGAGGAAUUAAAAACUAUAACCUUAAAGGCGGCAGGCCCAUCUCUUUGAAAUGGGUAAACUGUGGUGUACACUCUUUUAGAAGAGUUUUCAACUGAAUGUCGAAACAAUUACGGGAUUGUUCCGUUUUUUUCUUUACUUCGUUAAGUAGUUGGUCCUAAAUUAAGAGAAAUGCAAUUGGGUCACUUGCGUUUUCCCGCGCUUCAGUAAGUUUGCUCAUUAAGACCUCAUUGGCCUUUCAAGACUUUUUUUGAGUGACUAAUGUGAUCACUUUGGUUUUGGUUCUAAGAACCUCAAUCGAAAUGUGCUUCAUUUGAAAAGAAAACCCGUUUCACCGAGCAGUUCUGUAGAACGCCGAUUUUAUUUGAUCCUUUUGAGUAAGUCGAAAAUAGUUCAAAAUUGGGGUUUGACGACAAACCUUUUUUUAAAGAACUUAAUAUUUUUAGCGACGAGGGGAAGUCAGUUCUGUUGUCGUCCUCAAGCUCCUUGUCGGCAAUAAAACAAUUUCAAUUGUGCUGUCAGCAAAAGUCUCGAAAAAUGUC